AAAGCUGAGGGAGGAUCUCCAUGUGGAAGGACAAGGUAGUAGGAAGAGGCUUCCACCCUUUGGGAAAGGUCAGUGUUAACGUGUAAUACACUAGGAAGAGAGGAGAUUUACAAUCAUCAGUACCACUAUCCCCAUCCCACCCAAAAGCAACAGAUAAAUCUUGGAAAAUGACAGGCACUCCCAGGCUGACACAGAGGAGUGAGAUAGAUGGUGAGGGGUCCUUUUGGAUCUCUGGCCUCUGUAGCUGUGUGGUGUCAGUUCCCUUCUCUGCCCUUCUCUGUGUUUGCAGUACUGCCCCUGCCCCUGGGUCCACCUGCCCUCCUCACCUGGAGGCAUCUGCCAUCGUCUAUGAUCCCCCCCGCAACAGGCAGGGUCUAAGAUGUGUAUGCACCCAUUCAAACCUCAAGCCUGUAUCUGCAUUUAUAUCCAGGGACAUGAACAAGAAUGAAGGUAGCCACCAAUUGAACUUAGAGCACUCUCCAAGCUCAGGUCAAUGUAUGGGGGGAGGACUUCCCCCCUAGGACAAAGAGACUCCUCCUCCCAUUUUUGCCAUUGUGCUAGUAAAAAAAAAAAAAAUCCUUGGCAGGAAAGAAUUCCUUGAACACAGAGGGGAUGGAAAUAAUGACCACUGAGAUGAUAUUCCAUUUCUGGCCCCUUGGGAAAGAAAUUUUUUUUUUUUAAUUUGAGGGGAUCAAGAUAGUCUGAACUUCAGAGAGUGCUAUAAUUUACUGGAGGGAGGGGGCACAAGACUCAGGGCCCCAAGCGAUCGGUGGGAAACUAGAUCUCAAAGCAGAAAAUGAAAAGUCGAUCUGGGGGAAGAUUUUUAAAUAAGUGGGUCAGAGGGAUGGAGAGGAGAUGAGGCGAUCAAUCUUAGCCCCCUGACAGCUCCCUCCGAUGGCAUCAAAGAAUUUGGCUGUUUGGGAAAGCAGAGGGAACAGCAGAAAUUCCACAUCCCUUUAAAAGGCCUGGGGGUGGGGGGUGUUAGCAAAAGAGAAAGGUGAUUCCGGGAGAGCGGGAAACAGAUGGGAAAUGGGAACAGAAGGAAGGGCGCUGAGUUGGGUGGAAAGUUUGUCUGGAGAACUCCCACGGCUCUGGCCUCCCCUCCCCCUCCUCGCUCUCUCCUGCCCAGCAAGGAAGAGAAGGCUGGUUAGCAGAGAAAUGGCAACGCAGCCCUGAGCUGGAACUGGAAACUUUCUGUUAAUGUAACAGUCCGUGGGUGGUGACCCAAUGGUGGUUGGGCUUCGGGUCAUGUGACGACUUCUUUGUAGCUCCGGAAGAGAACUGUGAAGUUUAGCUUGCAUGGAAGAAGCACUAAUACGCCAGAUUUUUUUGUUGCUGAGGGAGUGUGUUGGGGGGGGUGGCGAGGAGGUUGUGGCCAAGGAGUGAGGAGACAAAAGGUCAAUGAAGGAGAAAAAUUGAGAGGCAAAGAAGCCAAACAAAAAGACCUAGAGAGAGCACCCAAGAGUCCUUUCCCCCACAACUUGUUACUUAAAUCUUAGCUAAAGAAGUUGGCAGCAUGUUCCAGGCUCCUGUGAGUGACAAAAACUAUAUAAACCUGAGACAGCGAGGGGGAGGCAGGGGUCUGGGCAGUGAACAAAAAGGCCAGAAGAGGGUCUUCAGUGUCCUUCUUCCCUUGGGGGAAAUUGAGCAGUCAGCAGCCUCCCUCUGCUAUCUAAAUUGGACUACCAGGACAAGAUAAAAUUGUUAACAGAAAGUUUAUUCAAGAAUUGUUUGACAGACAACCCUUUUAAGUAAGGAAAAAAGUAACUACGGAACAACAAAGAAAGUUCCAAGAGGGAAUUAACUCUAAUUCUACAAAUUCAGGACUAUACAGUGACAAUUAGGAGCUGAGUUCAUGCCUUUUAGAACUAAUUACAAUUGCUCAUAAGUACGAAUUUAACAUAAAUCUACAGCUCUUUUCUAGAGUACAAUAAUAACUAAAAUAGCUGUUUUUACAUGACAGGAAACACAACGUCCUUUAUAACAAGUAAAUACUUAAAAAAAGUACAAUUUUUUCCCUCAUAUAAAUACAUAAUGUAGGGGGAUAAAUAAUACAAAAAAGAAAAUAUUUUAACAGGCUAUAACCAAUAAAUAUAUAUGAAAAUGUUCACUAGAACACACGCUUUUUGAGCGAUGCUGGACUCCUACAGGCCCAGGCAUCUCUCACAGUUGUUUUUAUAUCCAUUAAAAUGUAAACUCUAAGUGCAACAAAAGUGUCCUGUCAGGAGGUUGAGCAAGGCACACAGGCCCAGCUGCAGCCCCUGCCUGGGACAGACAGUUUGUUAAAAUAUACCCUGUUUUCACGUUAAGUCAAGAGAGCAACAGAAGAAAAUAAAAUUGUAGAACCUCGUGUCACCGAUUGCUUUCUGUGGAGAGAGGGGGAUGGACCUGGAGCUGAGAUGGGAGGCAGCAGAUUGGACAAACCUUAAGUCCUAACGACUUGCCUGCCCUCACCUCCCAGCUUUUCCAUAAAAGAAAAAAAAAUAUGUAUUUAUAAUAUAGACAGCUCUGACUUUCAGGAUCUCUCACCAUCCCUGAGCCCUCUGAAACCAUAAUUGAUGGGGGUGGCAUAGAGAUAUGAAUGUCCUAGAGCAGAAAAAUAUGGGGCUGGAAAUGCAGGGAGUGCUGAGUAAACCUCAAAUAGAUGGGAGGAAAUUUGAGGCUUCAGGGAAGUGGGAGGGGGUGGUGUUUUGUGCCCUUGGAUUUG